rnacentral:rRNA from 1 species
ACAGCAGUCGCCGCGGGAAUACAGAGGGUGCGAGCGUUAAUCGGAUUUACUGGGCGUAAAGCGUGCGUAGGCGGCUUCUUAAGUCGGAUGUGAAAUCCCUGAGCUUAACUUAGGAAUUGCAUUCGAUACUGGGAAGCUAGAGUAUGGGAGAGGAUGGUAGAAUUCCAGGUGUAGCGGUGAAAUGCGUAGAGAUCUGGAGGAAUACCGAUGGCGAAGGCAGCCAUCUGGCCUAAUACUGACGCUGAGGUACGAAAGCAUGGGGAGCAAACAGGAUUAGAUACCCCUGUAGUCCCUGUCUCUUAUAU